UACGUAGGGUCCGAGCGUUGUCCGGAAUUAUUGGGCGUAAAGGGCUCGUAGGCGGUUUGUCGCGUCGGGCGUGAAAACACCGGGCUUAACUCGGUGCUUGCUUUCGAUACGGGCAGACUAGAGGUAUGCAGGGGAGAACGGAAUUCCUGGUGUAGCGGUGAGAUGCGCAGAUAUCAGGAGGAACACCGGUGGCGAAGGCGGUUCUCUGGGCAUUACCUGACGCUGAGGAGCGAAAGCGUGGGGAGCGAACAGG
rnacentral:rRNA from 1 species